GAGGAGGCCGGGAGCACGUGGGUUGGGGACCUGCAGAGCCCCGCCUGUCCUCGGCCUACCGCGGCGAGCAGGCAUUCCGGGUCAGACCGGCGCGGGGCGCUGCGGCCCAACUCCUUAGUAGGACGACGUGACUCGAGGGGCCGGAGGACGGAGGUGGGAGCCCGGGCUAGAGGGUGGAGGCUGGGGAGGUUGCCUGGUCACUCUGGCGCUCCGCUGCCGGGGGCAUCCUCCGGCCCAGCAAAGGUGCAGCCUGGGAAGAAGGCGUCAGCACCACCCAGAGAAGAGGAGAGGGGACUUGGCACGCCUCAGGAAGGAAAAAAGGAAGGCUCUCGGGACCACCCAAUAAGCAACCGGGAAACCACAUACCAUGGACAGUGCUCGGGGAAUUUCGGCUCCUCCUCAUCCCUGGAGGUUCCAGGGAUCUGGCAGAGAAAGAAGCCCAGUCUCACAGCAAUGACUCCUGAACAUCCUUUGCAAACACUAUUUAGGACAGAUGGACUGAAGUAGGCCCUGGGGAGAGUUGGGGGCAUUUCCGGAGGCCAGACCAAAGGUGAUCUCCAGGAGAUUUGGAUGUUAGUGCAGGAUAGCUCAGAGCCAAGUGGCAGAUAAGUCUUUGGGAGCCAGAAGGGCUCUUUCUUCUCUAAGGAACAAGUGUAGACCUAUAGGGGCAAGAACCUGUGGCAACCCUGGGAGAGGUCUGCAGAUUCAGGAGGGAACAUCCCAAAACUCAGCAGAGGAGGAGAGGGAGCUUUUGUUGGUCACCUGGAACCACUACCAAUCCAUGUUCAUGUCAAAUUAAAUGAUCACUUUGAAGUUUUUCAGCCUACCAAAAUCAUGUGAAUUUGGUCUGCAAAACCAGACGACUGCCUGCUUGCAGUUAAGAAUUCUCAGCGGGAGGCCGGGCGCAGUGGCUCAUGCCACCAGCACUUUGGGAGGCUGAGCCCAGUGCACGACAGUUCAUGCUCGGUUAAUAUGAAGAGAAGGCAACUUAUCUGGCUGCAGCGCUGAGAAUGGUUGGAGGGAGUUGUGACUGGAGACAGUGAGACCAGGAGGGAAGGUGGAACUAAGGAUCCCGAAUCCGUUUGGAGGCAGAGAGGGGCCAACAGGGUGUUUGAAGGGAGCAAAGGCAUCGAAAUUUUUGGAGCAUCUAGAACUGGGGCAGUGAAUGCAGAAGAGUGGGAGCACACACACGUUUCUCCUCCUUGACCCAGAAUGGGCACAGCCUUCAGAGAGCUCUUGCCAGCUCCUCACUCUAGCCUGGGUGAAGGGGGCAUCUGUGCCAAAGCAGGAAGGCACACAGGCGGAUUGGAAGGAAUUUCUCUCAGCAGCGUCAAAUGCCUGAGGGAUCUCGCCCUCGACCCUCUCCAUCUCUCAUGGUACUCUCAUUCACCCCCGGCUGCAGCUCCUGCCUCUGUGCUGACAGCUGUCACAUCAAUCCAGCCCAGACCUCCCUCGGCAGCUCUAGACCAGCAGAUCCCACUGCCUCCUGACAACCCCUCUGGAUGUCCCACAGUUCCUCAGACUUAGCAUCCUUUCCAAAUCCAUGCCCCCAUCUCAUUUCCAAAAAAGAAAAAUCAUAGAGGCCUCCCCAAUACAAAUGCAUAGGACAUGGGAAACAAGGUUUGAAAGGAUAUCCAGAAAAGCUUAGGGAUAGCCCUGGCCUUUUGGAGGUGACUUGGGGGUGGUAUGAGAGGCCAGAGUCAGCAGUAACUUCUCCUUUCUUCCCCACGAAGGUGUGGACUUCUUAGCUUCCUGUCCUUUUCGUACCAUUUGCCAAAUUGAAUUUAAAUAAUUAUUACUGUAAUUGCUUACUUAUUGUCUGUCUCUCCUGGUUGAAGCUUCUCAAGGGCAGGGAUCAUGUCUGUUUCACUUCUGUAUCCUUGGCAUCUGUCAUAUAAUCAGUAUCUGACAUAUAAUAGGUGCUUAAUAAAUAUUUGUUUGAAUUAAUGAAUAUCCUUGUUCAUCACCCAAGAUGCAGAUCCUGCUGGGGCCCUUAUCUUUUCCUGCCUCCUUAUCCACAUGGAGCUCUGUGCUUUGCUCACCGGAGCCAGCACCCCACCGCACCCUCUACCAACCCUCGGUUUUUUUCAGAUGCCCUCAUGCCCUGGGCUGCUUCAUGGAAUGUGGAUAGUGAGUUAACCAUGCUGGCCUGUCUGCAAGCAGAGGCAUGUGUAUAUCUGACAAGGCACCCUCAAGACAAUUCCCUGGAUG
rnacentral:lncRNA from 10 species